rnacentral:rRNA from 1 species
UACGGAGGGUGCAAGCGUUAUCCGGAUUUACUGGGUUUAAAGGGUGCGUAGGUGGGCAGGUAAGUCAGUGGUGAAAUCUCCGAGCUUAACUCGGAAACUGCCAUUGAUACUAUCUGUCUUGAAUUAUCUGGAGGUGAGCGGAAUAUGUCAUGUAGCGGUGAAAUGCUUAGAUAUGACAUAGAACACCAAUUGCGAAGGCAGCUCACUACGGAUACAUUGACACUGAGGCACGAAAGCGUGGGGAUCAAACCAGG